CAGGAGGGGCGUCAGCCAGAGGGUCCCCCAGCAGGACCCCAAACUUUCAAAACUGCUGACAUAAACCCACUGAGAGAUCCUGUACGGAUCGGAAACAGUAUGAACCAUCACAGACUACAGGGCUGGGAAAAAUUAGAUAAUUCCCCCUGGGUGUCAGGAAGGGCUCCUGGAGCUGGACCCAGUUGCAGACAGGCGGUCAGAAGCAGUAAGAGUGUCUUGGUGUCCUUGGGGUGAAACGGGGAAGGCAGUGACCGCAGGAAGUGCUGAAGCGGUGCUCAGCUCCAGUUCUGCUGAUUUUAAGCAAGAGCAGCGCCUGUGAGUGGGCAGCAAAGCCUCGGUGACCCGUCCUCCCCUUGUCUGUGUCAUGAUGUUUGGAUGGGUUGUACUGGAAUUCUAAUUUCCCCUCGGCGAUCAAUAAAGUAUCUUUGAAUUGA